UACGGAGGGUGCGAGCGUUAAUCGGAAUUACUGGGCGUAAAGCGCGCGUAGGCGGUCUGAUCAGCCGGUUGUGAAAGCCCCGGGCUCAACCUGGGAACGGCAUCCGGAACUGUCAGGCUAGAGUGCAGGAGAGGAAGGUAGAAUUCCCGGUGUAGCGGUGAAAUGCGUAGAGAUCGGGAGGAAUACCAGUGGCGAAGGCGGCCUUCUGGACUGACACUGACGCUGAGGUGCGAAAGCGUGGGUAGCAAACAGGAUUAGAUACCCGGGUAGUCCCUGA
rnacentral:rRNA from 1 species